CAGUAGCCACGGUAAUACGAAGGGGGCUAGCGUUGCUCGGAAUUACUGGGCGUAAAGGGAGCGUAGGCGGACUGUUUAGUCAGAGGUGAAAGCCCAGGGCUCAACCUUGGAAUUGCCUUUGAUACUGGCAGUCUUGAGUACGGAAGAGGUAUGUGGAACUCCGAGUGUAGAGGUGAAAUUCGUAGAUAUUCGGAAGAACACCAGUGGCGAAGGCGACAUACUGGUCCGUUACUGACGCUGAGGCUCGAAAGCGUGGGGAGCAGACAGGAUUAGAUACCCCUGUAGUCCCUGUCUCUUAUAU
rnacentral:rRNA from 1 species